rnacentral:rRNA from 1 species
CUUAAAGGAAUUGACGGGGGCCCGCACAAGCGGUGGAGCAUGUGGUUUAAUUCGACGCAACGCGCAGAACCUUACCAGGCCUUGACAUCCCACGCGACCUCGAGAGAUCGGGGGUUCCCUUCGGGGACGUGGAGACAGGUGCUGCAUGGCUGUCGUCAGCUCGUGUCGUGAGAUGUUGGGUUAAGUCCCGCAACGAGCGCAACCCUCGCCUUUAGUUGCCAUCAUUCAGUUGGGCACUCUAGAGGGACUGCCGGUGACAAGCCGGAGGAAGGUGGGGAUGACGUCAAGUCCUCAUGGCCCUUACGGCCUGGGCUACACACGUGCUACAAUGGCGGUGACAGAGGGCAGCGAUCCAGCGAUGGGGAGCCAAUCUCUAAAAGCCGUCUCAGUUCAGAUUGCACUCUGCAACUCGGGUGCAUGAAGGUGGAAUCGCUAGUAAUCGCAGAACAGCAGGCUGCGGUGAAUACGUUCCCGGGCCUUGUACACACCGCCCGUCACAC